AAAUGGAAACAUAUCAGAAAACAGCUCCUUUUUAUUAAUUUUAUCUAGUUUCUUCUUUUUCUUUUCUCUCUUUCUUUUUUAACGUUCCACUCCCUUCGGGCGUUUUUCUUUUAAUGUUCCAGGAAUACUCCAGCCCGGAAGAGGGACCAUUUCUUUCGGGUCCGAUAAAUAAAAAUGAUCUUACUGAAUGUACUUUAAAC
rnacentral:ribozyme from 14 species